rnacentral:rRNA from 2 species
AUCCUGCUCAGGACGAACGCUGGCGGCGUGCCUAAUACAUGCAAGUCGAACGAACUCUGGUAUUGAUUGGUGCUUGCAUCAUGAUUUACAUUUGAGUGAGUGGCGAACUGGUGAGUAACACGUGGGAAACCUGCCCAGAAGCGGGGGAUAACACCUGGAAACAGAUGCUAAUACCGCAUAACAACUUGGACCGCAUGGUCCGAGUUUGAAAGAAUGGCUUCGGCUAUCACUUUUGGAUGGUCCCGCGGCGUAUUAGCUAGAUGGUGGGGUAACGGCUCACCAUGGCAAUGAUACGUAGCCGACCUGAGAGGGUAAUCGGCCACAUUGGGACUGAGACACGGCCCAAACUCCUACGGGAGGCAGCAGUAGGGAAUCUUCCACAAUGGACGAAAGUCUGAUGGAGCAACGCCGCGUGAGUGAAGAAGGGUUUCGGCUCGUAAAACUCUGUUGUUAAAGAAGAACAUAUCUGAGAGUAACUGUUCAGGUAUUGACGGUAUUUAACCAGAAAGCCACGGCUAACUACGUGCCAGCAGCCGCGGUAAUACGUAGGUGGCAAGCGUUGUCCGGAUUUAUUGGGCGUAAAGCGAGCGCAGGCGGUUUUUUAAGUCUGAUGUGAAAGCCUUCGGCUCAACCGAAGAAGUGCAUCGGAAACUGGGAAACUUGAGUGCAGAAGAGGACAGUGGAACUCCAUGUGUAGCGGUGAAAUGCGUAGAUAUAUGGAAGAACACCAGUGGCGAAGGCGGCUGUCUGGUCUGUAACUGACGCUGAGGCUCGAAAGUAUGGGUAGCAAACAGGAUUAGAUACCCUGGUAGUCCAUACCGUAAACGAUGAAUGCUAAGUGUUGGAGGGUUUCCGCCCUUCAGUGCUGCAGCUAACGCAUUAAGCAUUCCGCCUGGGGAGUACGGCCGCAAGGCUGAAACUCAAAGGAAUUGACGGGGGCCCGCACAAGCGGUGGAGCAUGUGGUUUAAUUCGAAGCUACGCGAAGAACCUUACCAGGUCUUGACAUACUUAUGCAAAUCUAAGAGAUUAGACGUUCCCUUCGGGGACAUGGAUACAGGUGGUGCAUGGUUGUCGUCAGCUCGUGUCGUGAGAUGUUGGGUUAAGUCCCGCAACGAGCGCAACCCUUAUUAUCAGUUGCCAGCAUUAAGUUGGGCACUCUGGUGAGACUGCCGGUGACAAACCGGAGGAAGGUGGGGAUGACGUCAAAUCAUCAUGCCCCUUAUGACCUGGGCUACACACGUGCUACAAUGGAUGGUACAACGAGUUGCGAACUCGCGAGAGUAAGCUAAUCUCUUAAAGCCAUUCUCAGUUCGGAUUGUAGGCUGCAACUCGCCUACAUGAAGUCGGAAUCGCUAGUA